CUGAAAUGUGUCUCCCCCCUCGCAUCAUCAAUGCUCCGGAUUGCGCACAGAUAGUCCCCCCAUCCUUCUUGGACGGGCUCCGAUUCUUUCAGAUGUGGCGAAGACGUCCAAAUCCUUCGAAAUGGUCCCGUUUCUUGAAGUACACUGGAUAGACAGCGCUGAAGAGACGGGGUGGGGCAUACAACGCUCAUUGAACCCUGGGAAGGAGCGUUUCAUCACAUGAUUGCACAGAGCGUCAGCAUGGCCAUAUUCUGCGGAGGAAACGGCGCCCUCUUCAAAGAAACUACAGAUUCGGGGGACCCUCGCCACAGCACAUCAGGAAAAAUGGGGAGCAGGGGCCCUCGAUCCGUGGGGUAUUCUGGGUCUUAUCACGGGAGGGGUCCGCUUUUCUGUUUCUCAAUAAUUGUGUAUAGUUUGGUAGCGUAGGCCUAAUUGUGCGUUGCCUGUAUGCCAUCGUCAACAGUUUGUUGGUCGAUUCUAAAGUGUGCUAUUAACUUGACAACUACAUUAGAAAUUGCAUUACCGAAUGUUAAUUAGGUGUCUGUGCCGUGCUCAUUUGAUUAAAAAACGAUGAAUGAUGUAC